GCUUGGUGUACUGCAAAUAGACAAUCUGCUGAAACAGAGUAACACUAGGAAGAGCAAUCGAUGCACUUGAGAGGUUAAAAAAAGGGCUUUGCUUUAUUGCUUAUCUCGGUGUUCUAUAAUCUGGAUCCUUGGUCAGGUUAGAUAGCUAAAUAAGUUCUGGCUGCAUAUUCAUGUGUACACAAAAUGUAAGAGAACCAGUCCCAUAAAAAUAGAGGAAUUCAUUUCAAUUGAUCUGAAUAAUAACUUGAUGGUUUGGUUGGUUGAGGUUGGUUCCGUACACAUUUUCCUCAUCCCCUUUCUUGAACCGAGGCUGUGAUGUUCUUGAGCCCGAGCGGUGCCGCUUUUUCAAUCUAUUUCUUCUAUUUCUGAUGGGUGCUCACGCAUGUAUUUUCUUUAUAUAGGUUCAUGCUCGUGUCUGAUUAUUGGUAGUGGAACCGCGGUGUUGGUGCUUUUCUAGACAGUUCAGUGUACUGGUUUUCUCUUCCGUUUUGCCGUCCUCUUGGAUGCGGGUAAUAAAUCAAUCCUCUUUCUUUUAUUUCAUCUAUUAGGCAUCACAUACAGUUUCUUAGAAUGUUAGCCUAUGUGCAGGGAAGCCUUAGAUAUCUUUGUAUUUCAGGAUUAACUUUAGGUAUCCAUCUCCAGGAUUUCAGUGUGCACAUAUUUCUGUAUGCUAUGCACCUUGAGCCACGUAAACUGUUAGUGAAAAGAGUUUGAGUUUGCAGUUUUGUGUAUUAAAUUGCUUCUGCUAGAUCCCCACGAUGUGUCUCCCAUGGGGUUUAUACCGCUCCCUUGAUGUUGCAAACGUAAAAUAAACUAAAUGAAGAUGGUAAGUGACCAGCGAAUAAUUUUUAUGGUGUCCAUCCGCUGGCAUGCUACGCCUCGCAGUGUAGCCUUAUCGCUGAUUUAGACCC